rnacentral:rRNA from 1 species
UGCGUAGGUGGCGAAGUAAGUCUGGUGUGAAAUCUCGGGGCUCAACCUCGAAAUUGCAUUGGAUACUGCAUCGCUAGAGGAUUGUAGAGGAGAGUGGAAUUCACGGUGUAGCAGUGAAAUGCGUAGAUAUCGUGAGGAAGACCAGUUGCGAAGGCGACUCUCUGGGCAAUUCCUGACACUGAGGCACGAAGGCCAGGGGAGCAAACG